rnacentral:rRNA from 1 species
CACGUAGGGCGCAAGCGUUGUCCGGAAUUAUUGGGCGUAAAGAGCUCGUAGGCGGUCUGUUGCGUCCGCUGUGAAAACUCGGGGCUUAACCCCGAGCCUGCAGUGGAUACGGGCAGACUAGAGGUAGGUAGGGGAGAAUGGAAUUCCCGGUGUAGCGGUGAAAUGCGCAGAUAUCGGGAGGAACACCGGUGGCGAAGGCGGUUCUCUGGGCCUUACCUGACGCUGAGGAGUGAAAGCGUGGGGAGCGAACAGG